UACGAAGGGGACUAGCGUUGUUCGGAAUUACUGGGCGUAAAGGGCUCGUAGGCGGCCAACUAAGUCGGACGUGAAAUCCCCAGGCUCAACCUGGGAACUGCGUCCGAUACUGGAUGGCUUGAAUCCGGGAGAGGGAUGCAGAAUUCCAGGUGUAGCGGUGAAAUGCGUAGAUAUCUGGAGGAAUACCGGUGGCGAAGGCGGCAUCCUGGACCGGCAUUGACGCUGAGGAGCGAAAGCCAGGGGAGCAAACGGG
rnacentral:rRNA from 1 species